rnacentral:lncRNA from 1 species
GGACCCUUUUAAAUGUUCCUGCGUGCACGCUGCCAUGAUCCUUCAUUAUGCGGAUGUUUGUGGGCUAGGAGACAGUGACAAAUUUGCUUCUUUCGUAUUAGUUAAAAUAUCUUUUUGGUUUUAUAUUAUAUAUACACGUUUACUUUGAAAAUGUCGAUAGUCUGUGCGUUUACCUGAAAGCAGUAUCUGUAAAAUAACUGACGUUGGCUGCUCACGGCCUCUCCCUCGUGGUCGUAAUUUUAUUUAGUUAAGCAUUUUUAUCGAAUAUGACUUGAUAAUUUUUUAGUAAGCUUUUGAAAAUGCUUGCUGCUUAUAAAUAUUGUUGUGUAGAGAACCAAAGUCCAAGAAACGGUGCGAAAGGGCAAACGCAGAUUUCUUGUUGGAUGGCAGGCCGUUGACGCCAACUGUUGACAACCAUUAUGUUGGAUGAGAGAAAUUGAGGCUGGUAGACGAUGCCAACAGUUGACGACCAAUUGGUUGGAUGGAAGAAAUUGAGGCCAGUAGAUGAUGCCAACAGUUGACGAUCAGUUGGUUAGAUGAGUGAAAUCAGUUGCCUUGUAGCAGAUGCCAUCUUUCAGCAAAAAAAAGAGUUUGGAUGAGAAAAACAGAGGCUGCCAGGUAGCUGAUGCCAACAAUAGGCGACCAAUGGUUUGGAUCAAACUGAAGCUGCUAGAUAGCUGAUGCCAACAAUACACAGCCAAUAGGUUGAAUGGAACAAAAGCCUGCUGGCUGAUUCUAAGUUGACAUCCAAUGGGUUUUCAACUACAGGGUUCGAAGCCAACAUGGAUGUCUUGGAUUCAUGAAUCUGCUUAAAGGUUGACGAGAUGCCAGUGAAGGGGUGCUGCAUACACAUGAAUGCGGAGCCGUGAUGUGACCGAAGAGGAGCUGUGACUGGUUUGCUGCACAAUGGUGAAUUAAAAUGAUAUACAUCAAUUUAAAUGCUUGUUUAGUGGCAUUCAAUAGACUGUUUGAGUUAAUUUUCUCAUUUUCAGUUUUAUAAACUGCUUUUUCAACAGAGUAUUGCUUUUAAUAAACAUCAGAACUAAAGUGAAAA